ensembl:snRNA U1 U1 spliceosomal RNA
GUACUAAACUGGCAGAGGAGAUACUGUGAUCACGGAGGGGCUUUUCCCAGAGGAAGGCGUAUCCAUUGCUCUCUGGAUGUGCUGACUCCUGCAAUUUUCCCAAACGUGGGAAACUUGACUGCAUAAUUUGUGGUACUGGGGGACUGCAUUCACACUCUCCAC